AAAGUCGUAACAAGGUUUCCGUAGGUGAACCUGCGGAAGGAUCAUUGACAAAUCUAAACAACACAACAUAUUAACCUGUGAAGCGCAGCUGCACACUCAUCAUACUGUGCGGCUGUUUGGUGGCAGUGGGGCGGCAGAGGCUCGCGUCUCGUACCCUCUCAUCUGCCACAAACACAUUUACACAAUUGUCUUACCACAACACAACAACAACAACAACUUUUAGCAAUGGAUCUCUUGGCUUCU
rnacentral:misc_RNA from 1 species